AAAAAGUAAAAAGUUUUAUGCUGCGCUUGCAGAACUCUCCAAAGUUGCCUUAAAUAAACUUGAAAAAGUUGCACUGUAUUCUGGAAUUCUCCCAGUAAAACUAACGGAUUUUACCAAGAAACUAUCAAGUAUCCGACCAAUUGACCUUCUUUGCAAUGAUCAGCUGGACCAAUCAAGUGGA